rnacentral:lncRNA from 1 species
GUGUGUGUAUAUACGAUCGAUCAGGACAGAGGGUGAGGUGAAACCCUAGUUUCACCAAAAUCCAUCAAAUUGAAGGGGGAUUGAAGGGCUAAACUAAUGCAUGAACCAAGAUUUUCGAUCACUUUAGCGUUUCUACCAUCAUAUGUUAAUGGCAAGAACGUGUCAAGGAGAGGUCAAGCAUAGGAGGAUAACGGGUCAAGAUAAGGCAAGGUGACAAAUACACUUAUUGGAGUACUCGAGGUAAGUGAAUUUCGAUUCACUUUUUAGUAGGUUUAAUAGAUUUUAAUACUUAUGUUUACGAAACAUCAUGAAAGAACAUGUAAUAAUCAGAAGUACAAAGCCAAUAAUGCCUCAUUAUUGAAGAAGGUUGUAUUUAAGCCGAAAGUAAAUUGGUGGGUUUAAACGGGUCGAAUUUUAUGUGCAUAUGUUGCGUAAUGUAAUGAAAUUCGUUAUGGUUAAGACCUUGGGUAAGAAUUUUUAGUCAUUAUGUAAGGGGAACGUUUCCCGGACCAUUAGGAACAAGUUUUAUAUGAUUCGGUUGUCGGUUAGUGAAUGAACGGAUUGUUUCGUGUUAGUGUAGGAAAUUUUAUAAGUAUAUGUGUAUAGGAAUCCAAAGGGCACGUGGGUUGAAUCAUAGAUUGUCUAUACUAUGUAAAGUUGUGAAUGUGACAUUCCGGCAUAAACCUACAUGUAAAAGAAGCUUGUGUAUAUAUUCGUGAUUAAUAGAUUGUGCGUAGGAAGGAACAUUGGCAUGUAUGAAGGUACGCAUGUAUAUAUAUAAGUGUAUAUAUAUAUAUAUGUAUGUAUGUAUGAUAAUAAGUACGUAGGUGUGAAUGUAUGUGUGAAUGAAUGUUCAAUGCUUAAGACAUAUGCAUGAACGUUAUCAAAGUGUUCGAGUAUUUAUGGUUACUAAUGAUGUGCGUUGAGUUGGAAUGUAAUGUAGGUAUGGGAUCGUUGGCUUCAUGAAGAAAUGGAGCUGGAUUUGGAUAAGAGUAUUUAAGAAAGCGCUUGGACAAUUCCACGACUACUUUAUAGAAUGCUCUACGAAAUUCUAUUAUAUAGUUUAAUGUUGUAUGGUAUGUUAAUGACUAAUGGUUUGGUUGUACGUGGUGUCCACAGGUAUCGCUUGGGUUUUCUCUACAUUUAUUGAAGUGAAGCGGACUUAGUUCGAGUUGAGAGCAAGGAUUGUACGGGGUAGAAUGGUCAAAUAGUGUAACUCAUAUAGGUUUUGAAGUAUUAAUUUUAUAAAACGUUAUAAAUCCGUUUUAACGAAUAUAUGGCAUUUCGCAUU